rnacentral:sRNA from 2 species
AGCUCGACGGGAUCGACGGCGCGCGUGACAACCAGGUAGUCGCGCAUCACGAUUCCGUGGCGAUUCUC